rnacentral:rRNA from 1 species
UACGGAGGGAGCUAGCGUUGUUCGGAAUUACUGGGCGUAAAGCGCACGUAGGCGGCUUUGUAAGUUAGAGGUGAAAGCCCGGGGGCUCAACCCCGGAAUUGCCUUUAAGACUGCAUCGCUUGAAUCCGGGAGAGGUGAGUGGAAUUCCGAGUGUAGAGGUGAAAUUCGUAGAUAUUCGGAAGAACACCGGUGGCGAAGGCGGCUCACUGGACCGGUAUUGACGCUGAGGUGCGAAAGCGUGGGGAGCAAACAGG